rnacentral:lncRNA from 1 species
AAAAUUUUUCAAAAUGAACGAAUGUGUGUAGUAUGGAUUCUCCCCCGUCAUGCUCUGUGACAUUAUCAGAGAUUUUGGUGCUGAGUGAAGAUAGUGGACUUCUCUUGACAAGUGAUCACAGUGGCUCUCUCGAUGUUGUGUCAUCGUGCAGUGAUCAAAGCUCUCAUUGUUAUUACACAAUGGAGUGCCCAGAGAGCGAGGAUGAGGAGGAAACCGAUAAAAGCGGUUUGAUUCAUGACAACCUUUGCAAUGAAAAUUGUAAUACUGUCAAGAGGUAUCCAAAAAAGGUUGCAGAGAUGGAGAAACAACUCGUCCCAACCAUUGAUCCUCCACUCGAAUUCCAAGACAAGCCUCCUUCGUCCAGUCAUGAUCUUUCAGUGGAGCUCAUCCAAAAAGUUGCAGAAGAAAUUACUGACUCCAUUAUUAGUGAGUGUAUGAGGCUUUUCAUUUCUGAGCACUUGAAACCAGAUGAAGAUCCUCCCAGCCUGAACAAAAUGGAUGCUAAAACAAGCCAAAAAAGGAUGUUUUGGACGUCAGAACUAAUUUACUCAACAAGCUCUCGCAGUUCGCUCUCUUCUUCUCGGCUCUCUAGUUCCCACAACUCACUCUCAGUCACUGCAGCCAACAAAGUUGAUGACUCAAGUUUUAUUACAUCAGCAAUGUCACAUGAUAUCCUAAGCAUUACUGAUAUGUACAAUGUACCGUUAGAUAGUGAUAUUUAUGCUAUCCCAGCGGACUCAGUGCGAGGGAAGGACAAGAAAAAAGUUCCACAUAAGCUCUAUCGAUACAAUUCGUCUAAGAAGAAGGACCCCCUCUUGUCCAUUGAGAGUAAUGUAUCCUCAUCUUUUUGUAAUUACAAUCCAAACCGGAAACAGAAACGCAAUUCUACUCCUAGUCGAUCCAUGUCCACCCCAGCUUCCGGUGAACCUAUUCAAAUGACCCUUCAGCAAGUGCGACAGUUUUUACACAAUCUGUACUCAAGUUCAAGUAGUGAAACUUUAUCCAAAACAAAGCAAGCUGUUUACAAAAGUUACAACUUAAAUGUAAACGAUGGCCGGGGUCAAAUUUUGAAGACCAAUGGCAGUAGAAGGAUCGUAAAGUGUAAAAAGAGUAAAAAUUUAAGUAAAAAAACCAAAGAUUCUUGUGAUAAUAAAAAUGUAUCAUUUAAUUCAAAUGUAAAUAAUAAUAAUGUUAAUAGCACUAGUAAUAAUAAUAACUUAGAUGGAUUUAGUGAUUUACAAAAAAACGGUGUUGAUAGAGUAAAAAACUGA